rnacentral:rRNA from 1 species
CCUACGGGAGGCAGCAGUAGGGAAUCUUCCACAAUGGGCGCAAGCCUGAUGGAGCAACACCGCGUGAGUGAAGAAGGGUUUCGGCUCGUAAAGCUCUGUUGUUAGAGAAGAACGUGCGUGAGAGCAACUGUUCACGCAGUGACGGUAUCUAACCAGAAAGUCACGGCUAACUACGUGCCAGCAGCCGCGGUAAUACGUAGGUGGCAAGCGUUAUCCGGAUUUAUUGGGCGUAAAGCGAGCGCAGGCGGUUUGAUAAGUCUGAUGUGAAAGCCUUUGGCUUAACCAAAGAAGUGCAUCGGAAACUGUCAGACUUGAGUGCAGAAGAGGACAGUGGAACUCCAUGUGUAGCGGUGGAAUGCGUAGAUAUAUGGAAGAACACCAGUGGCGAAGGCGGCUGUCUGGUCUGCAACUGACGCUGAGGCUCGAAAGCAUGGGUAGCGAACAGGAUUAGAUACCCCUGUAGUC